rnacentral:lncRNA from 1 species
CACUGGAGAGGUGGUGGUGGCCAGCCUCAACAUCAGGGUGGAGGAAGGCAUGCACCUGCUCAUCACAGGCCCCAAUGGCUGCGGCAAGAGUUCUCUGUUCCGAAUCCUAGGUGGACUCUGGCCAACAUACAGUGGGGUACUCUAUAAGCCCCCACCCCAGCGCAUGUUCUAUAUCCCUCAGAGGUUGGGAGGCUGUGUGUGACUGGAAGGACGUCCUUUCUGGUGGUGAGAAGCAGAGGAUUGGUAUGGCGCGCAUGUUCUAUCACAGGAAGUACCACACACACUUGCUGCAGUUUGAUGGGGAGGGAGGCUGGAAGUUUGAGAAGCUGGAUUCUGCUGCCCGCCUGAGCCUGACUGAAGAGAAGCAGCGCCUGGAGCAGCAACUGGCAGGCAUCCCUAAGAUGCAGGGGCGCCUUCAGGAGCUCCGCCAGAUCCUUGGCGAAGCUGCAGCCCCAGUUCAACCUCUGGUCCCAGGCAUCCCCACUUGACUGGGGACCUUAUCCCUAGCUCCCACCCUUCUCCAAGCUCUCGGAUCACAUGAAGGAAGCUGCAGCUCCUAUCCUCCCCUUACUGCCCUGCAUGCCUUCCCCUCCCAAGCCUCCUAGCCAAUUACCUGCUUUCCCUGAAGACCCCACUCUGGAGCAAGUAGAUAUGAAUGGGGACACUCUGCAUUCCACCUUCACUCUGGGGUCUGCUCCAGAAACUGUGCCCUGUUCGGGACAAUGUGUCCUUUACUUUUCUCUGAGGAGGGAUGGAGGGUUUGGAAGGCCCCAGUCCUGACUCUAUACCAGUAUGGCUGAGUCAUAGGAAGUAAGCAGGAGCUGCCCUCUUACUGCCAGCAGCCAGAAUGUGUGAAGCCUGGUGGUUGUGGAUCACAUCCCUCUUAAAACCCAAACCCUCGUCAUUGCUUUGAUCCAUCCCUUUGUUGCCAUCCCCUAGGGUGGCCAACCAAUGCCCCUGUCCUAUAGGACACUCCUGCCAUGAAAACAGCCUAAUGGAGCCCAGGAUUAGAUGGGGCCCAAAGCGUGCCCUUCCCCAUGGUUACCCCCAGAAUGGCAUGGUUACCUCCUGAGCCAUGAGAAGAAUGUAGCCCUGGCCCUCCCACUCCUCCACCUCUACAACCUAAUUUAUUGGACUCCCAGUUUAUAGGUGUCUAAAUUGCCAACAUGAGUACCCUGCCAGCACAGGAGGUGACUGGGUGGUCCCUUUAAUCUACCUAGUCUCUGGUGCCAAACCUGGCCCCUCACUAGCCUAUACUGCCAGUUGCCACUGGGGGUGCCCUCUGCCAGCUAGGCAAGAAUGAGGGCACCAUGUUCCCAGUUCAGUGCCAAAGAGGGGUCACAGGAGGUGCUGUGUCUGCUAAACCAGCCCUCACCAAGAGGGAGACCCCCCCACACACACACACACCCUAUUGCCAUUGUGUGCCUUUCCUGGGCCCUCAGCCCUCUGGCUCUGGUGACCCUCCCCCCACCCCACGUCCUCUCAGUAAAAACCUCUGGAAAGUACAA